rnacentral:rRNA from 1 species
UACGUAGGGGGCGAGCGUUGUCCGGAUUUAUUGGGCGUAAAGAGCUCGUAGGCGGUUUGGUAAGUCGGAUGUGAAAUCUCCACGCUCAACGUGGAGGCGCCAUCCGGUACUGCCAUGACUAGAGUCCGGUAGGGGAGUGUGGAAUUCCCGGUGUAGCGGUGAAAUGCGCAGAGAUCGGGAGGAACACCCGUAGCGAAGGCGGCACUCUGGGCCGGUACUGACGCUGAGGAGCGAAAGCGUGGGGAGCGAACAGG